rnacentral:rRNA from 1 species
UACGUAGGUGGCGAGCGUUGUCCGGAUUUACUGGGCGUAAAGGGCGCGUAGGCGGCCACCGCAAGUCGACUGUGAAAUCUCCGGGCUUAACCCGGAAAGGUCAGCCGAUACUGCGGGGCUAGAGUGCAGAAGGGGCAACUGGAAUUCUCGGUGUAGCGGUGAAAUGCGUAGAUAUCGAGAGGAACACCUGCGGCGAAGGCGGGUUGCUGGGCUGACACUGACGCUGAUGUGCGAAAGCUAGGGGAGCGAACGGG